rnacentral:rRNA from 1 species
UACGUAGGGUGCGAGCGUUUGUCCGGAAUUAUUGGGCGUAAAGGGCUCGUAGGCGGUUUGUCGCGUCGGGAGUGAAAACCUCGGGCUUAACUCGGGGCUUGCUUUCGAUACGGGCAGACUAGAGGUAUGCAGGGGAGAACGGAAUUCUCGGUGUAGCGGUGAAAUGCGUAGAUAUCGAGAGGAACACCUGCGGCGAAGGCGGGUAGCUGGGCCGACACUGACGCUGAGGCGCGAAAGCCAGGGGAGCGAACGGG